UAAGUAAAUCAGACAAUCGCUGCUAUAGUAUUAUAGGAGAGGAAAGUCCGAGCUUCACAGGGCAGGGUGCUGGGUAAUGCCCAGUCAGGGUGACCUGAAGGAAAGUGCAACAGAAAUAUACCACUGCAGGCAGCAGAAUAUGACAAUUUGUCAUGCAGUAAGGAUGGAAAGGCGAGGUAAGAGCUCACCAGCGCAGGGGUGACUCUGCGGCUGUGUAAACCCCACCUGAAGCAAGAUCGAAUAGGAAAGUACAAAAAAGUGGCCCGCUUUGCUUUCGGGUAGUAUCGCUUGAGCCCAUUGGUAACAAUGGGCCUAGAUAGAUGAUUGUCUAAUACAGAACUCGGCUUAUAGAUUUACUUACCGC
rnacentral:RNase_P_RNA from 1 species